GAUGAACGCUGACAGAAUGCUCAACACAUGCAAGUCAACUUGAACUUCGGUUUGGGUGGCGGACGGGUGAGUAACGCGUAAAGAACUUGCCUCACAGAUAGGGACAACAUUUGGAAACGAAUGCUAAUACCUGAUAUUAUGAUUAUAUGGCAUCGUAUAAUUAUGAAAGCUAUAUGCGCUGUGAGAGAGCUUUGCGUCCCAUUAGCUAGUUGGAGAGGUAACGGCUCACCAAGGCGAUGAUGGGUAGCCGGCCUGAGAGGGUGAUCGGCCACAAGGGGACUGAGACACGGCCCUUACUCCUACGGGAGGCAGCAGUGGGGAAUAUUGGACAAUGGACCAAGAGUCUGAUCCAGCAAUUCUGUGUGCACGAUGAAGUUUUUCGGAAUGUAAAGUGCUUUCAGUUGGGAAGAAAAAAAUGACGGUACCAACAGAAGAAGUGACGGCUAAAUACGUG
rnacentral:rRNA from 1 species